UCAUCCAGUUGAGGAGCUAACGCAGGGAACUGAAACAUCUUAGUACCUGCAGGAAAAGAAAAUAACAAUGAUUCCCCCAGUAGUGGCGAGCGAACGGGGAAUAGCCCAAACCAUUCAUGUUACGGCAUGGAUGGGGUUGUAGGACCACGGCGUUGCAAGAACUCUUGUGAGAAGAACAGCCUGGAAAGGCUGACCAGAGACGGUGACAGUC
rnacentral:rRNA from 1 species